rnacentral:ncRNA from 1 species
UACCAAUAGGGGUGCCUUAUCUGCCCGUGCAGAUUGAAAGACAGGCUGAGAUCAAACCCUUUGCACCUGAUACGGAUAAUGCCGACACAGGGAAUCGAGUU